rnacentral:rRNA from 1 species
CAGCCGCCGCGGGAACACGUAGGUGGCAAGCGUUGUCCGGAAUUAUUGGGCGUAAAGGGCUCGCAGGCGGUUUCUUAAGUCUGAUGUGAAAGCCCCCGGCUCAACCGGGGAGGGUCAUUGGAAACUGGGAAACUUGAGUGCAGAAGAGGAGAGUGGAAUUCCACGUGUAGCGGUGAAAUGCGUAAAGAUGUGGAGGAACACCAGUGGCGAAGGCGACUCUCUGGUCUGUAACUGACGCUGAGGAGCGAAAGCGUGGGGAGCGAACAGGAUUAGAUACCCCUGUAGUCCCUGUCUCUUAUAC